GAGGCAAUAACAGGUCUGUGAUGCCCUUAGAUGUCCUGGGCCGCACGCGCGCUACACUGACGCGACCAAUGGGUAUCCUCCUUUGCCGAGAGGCUUGGGUAAUCCUGUGAAAUCGCGCUCGUGCUGGGGAUCGAGCUUUGUGACUAUUGCUCGUGCAACUUGGAAUGCCUCGUAAUUGUGGGUCAUUAGCCCACGCUGAAUAUGUCCCUGCCCUUUGUACACACCGCCCGUCGCUACUACCGAUCGAGUGGCUUGGUGAGGAAGUCGGAUUGACCGUCAUACCCUGGCAACGGGGGAGGGGGUUGAGAAGUCUCUCAAACUCGGCCAUUUAGAGGAAGU
rnacentral:rRNA from 1 species